CAACAGUGGCCACACCCGGGCCCGAUGCAGGGGCAAACAGGGUAAAUUUCAGUUGUUAAAUAUAAUAUAUAACACUCUAAUCUGUAGUCGUCGUUUAGUUUUUAUAAAGUUUUAUCCAGGUAGUUAGUUCAUUCAUUAUAUUUUAAAACUACCGGUGCAAUAUGUUCUGAACGCGCCGGCAUUGUCUGCAUAAUAAUAUCCGGGAAAUGUGCGCGUCUCCCUGGCCUGAGGAUGCGCUGCUCAGCAUCCACGCUUUGGUUUGAAAUCUAACCUCAUGCUUUUUUUUCUUUUUACAUGAAAAAUCCUCGUUAGCCGGAUCCCCGAUUCAAAACUCAGCUCUCAGAUCACGUGACACAGGGUGAAACGUCAUUACAUAUAAUAGUGGAUUAUGGAAAGAUGCAGCUCUCCUUUCUUGUCAAGUGAGCAUGGGACUUACCCCUUUGAACACGUCCUACAUGCUGUUCCAUUACUGGAUCAAACUUAGCAAGCAGUUCCACUUCUUUCAGGAAGUUUGCAUUGUUUGGCAUGUAUAAAGUCUCUGAAGAAGCACGGAAAGCAAGGUUUCUUUCUGCAAGUGACUGUACAAUUGAAAUCAGGUGAGUCAAAACAUUACUCCAGUACUUUCUUUUGGAUUCAAUAAGACACAUUUCUGUCUGAUCAAUCAUUUUCCCUGUCUUAAAAUUCUAAUUGUAAGUCGCCCUGGAUAAUGGCGUCUGCUAAGAAAUUAUUAUUAUUAUUAUUAUUAUUAUUAUUAUUAUUAUUAUUAAUAAUAAUAAUAAUAAUAAUAAUAAUAAUAAUAAUAAUAAUAAUAAUAAUUAAUAAUAAUAAAUGCAUUUCAAGCUCUUUCCAAGACUGCAUGCUCUUUAUAUGUUCAGGUCUAUUUUCAUGACUCUUCAGAAGUGCUCUUAUGUUGACCCAGUCACUAACUCCAUCCCUCAUCAGUUUCUGUUGUUUAGAAGAAAACAAUUUGCAGCAGAAACAAUGCGUUGAAUUGUUCUUUUUGGAGUACAUAAGCCAGCUUCUCUGGAUUGUUUCCCCAUUCACUGAGAUGCAAUGUAUUAAAUUAUUGUUAAAUCAACGCCCAUCUUUUCCCUUUGGGAAAGCAAAGUCUGGGCUGACUUGAAAUGGUCCUCUGUAAACAAAUUCUGACCUUCGCGAGUCUGAUAAGACUGAGGGCCAGUCAGCAGGAUCCAGUGGUACAGCAGUUAUUAGUGCAUCAUUAUCGUCAACUUGGUGGCUGCAGACUGAAGAUUGCCCUUCAUCCAUUUGAACAUUUCGUUCACCUUCAGCAACUGAACCAGCAGCUGGUGCAAUGCCAUCUCGUGCAUCUGUGUCAGUAUUGCUGGCUGAGCUGAAGUGCUGGUAUCUCCUUCAACUGCAUUAGCAGUAGCAGUAGGGGGCACUGGUUCUUCAGCAGCAGAAGGUCCUUUAUGAGUAAACUUCACCUGUGAAAAUAAAAUACAUUUACACAUAGAUAUUUUACAAAUAUUUGCUUUAUACUUUAAUAUAUAUUUACCAUGUUCAUUUACCAACUGCUUUGGGUAGUAUACAGUGUAUAUAUAUAUAUAUAUACCCUGACAGGUACAAAGAAUAAACUACACUGGCCAAAAUACUGUAGCGCAUUCACUUGCAAACAAAUAGAGGCCUACUCAUUUGGUAAACUUAAAAAAAAAAAAAAAGUUCCAUUUACCCAUUGCAUUUAUAACUCGCUCAGAAUAACCUGAAGUGGAAAGGUAUUAUCUAAACUCAUUGCACUACAGUAAUAUGUUUAUUUCCGUUUUAAUUAAUAAUCAUAGUCUAAGCGACAAGGACAGGAAAGUAAAAAAGAUAGCGAGGUGGCCUCUUGAAAACACAAACCCCCUAGCCCAUGCGUGCAGAAUAAUUUCAAUAUAUAUUGCUGUUUACAUGCACAAAAUACAAACACAUACUUUACAGAAAAUGUUUAUUUUAUUUUCUUAAAAAUCUAUCAAAUCCGAUGAUGUGUUUCUAAUGGGCAGUAGAAACGACAGCAGACACACACACGUGCAGCUGUGUCCAGGCAGGGAUGGUGAAAGAAUGAACUCUGAUUCUACAUUCUGAUAUUAUCAAUAAAAAUACAAAUACCUGGAUACAAAAUGAUACAUCUGUCACAAUGUGUAAUGUGUGUGUAGAUCACAACUUAUUUCAAAGUUCACGUUUGAAGUGUGGCGGUAGGUUGUUUUACAAAGGGAACACGUUGUUUUUAUAAUGAUACAACUGUCACAAUGUGUAAUGUGUGUGUAAAUCACAACUUAUUUCAAAGUUCAUGUUUGAAGUGUGGCGGUAGGUUGUUUUACAAAGGUAACAAGUUGUUUUUAUAAUGUGCACGUUGGUAAACAAUGGAAAAUAAAAGCAAAGCAGUCAUUUGUAUUGCAAAAACAAAAGUGCAUCCGACACUUAUCAAAACAAACGCAAUAAAAACAGCUCCAUCCACUGAACAAGCAGCUGGGGAAACAACAUGCGAGUUUUACAGACUCAAGCUUAACUGUUUUUAAAAUAUAAUAAUAAUAAUAAUAAUAAUAAUAAUAAUAAUAAUAAUAGCAAAUCCCAAUAAGGAACAGUUGUCACAAUCGCUUUGAACACGAAUGCAAACGUGUAGUUUAUUUACUUCUUCAUUAGUAAACAAAGACAGGCAUGGAAAAAUAAACAAACAAACCAUGACUCUGUAAUGCAAAACUGAGUUCCAUCCAAUACUGUUAAUGUGAAAAAUAACCACUAAGGCAGCGUUGUUUAGAUUGGAUGUCAGAAUACUGAAAACUCUUCAAGCAUCUGAAAUCAUGUGCAUUUAAAUACACUGACUUGACAGGCCUGCUAGGGGCCUCGGAACCGAAUUUUGCAUGGGGCUCCCACAGGGCAAACUCCGCCCCUGAGUGAGGUGUGCAGAGUCACAGUGUUUGUAGAGUCCCUGGUACCCUCACAGAACUUCACUGUACAACUUUAUUAAACUCAUGACAUUUCCCAGCUGCGCGUGAUCACAAUUCCUCAAACUGGGCCUUUGUGUCUGUGUUCUGUGUCUGUUUAACUGAGUGCAGUAGCAGAGAUCAUGUUUCUAAAUGAAAACACAUGACUGAUAAUAAAACAAGUUCAAUCACAUUAAGCUACAGCAGUAACACGUUGAAGAAGCUGCCUCAUUGCCCUGGCCUUGGUUAAAAACAGCAUCAUUUACAAGUGCUUCUUUAACAGCUUUCAGAGAACACUUCUCCUUCCUGUCUGUCUUUCAAUCCUUACUGUGGAGAUUAUCUGGGGUUCUUUAACAGCUUUCAGAGAACACUUCUCCUUCCUGUCUAUCUUUGCAUCCUUACUGUGGAGAUUAUCUGGGGUUCUUUAUGGGAAGAAUGGACGACUGUAGGCAGUCAGGAUUUAGAGAUUUUGUUUUUUGGGUUUCAUUUUUUGCUUUUAUGUAUCCGUGUAGGCAGAUAAGAAUAU